rnacentral:rRNA from 1 species
AGCUUGCUCCUUGGACGUUAUGGGGCACACGGGGUGAGUAACACGUGGGUAACCUACCUGUAGGACUGGAAUAACUCCGGGAAACGGGGGCUAAUGCCGGAUAACAUUUAGAACCGCAUGGUUCUAAAGUGAAAGAUGGUUUUGCUAUCACUUAUAGAUGGACCCGCGCCGUAUUAGCUAGUUGGUAAGGUAACGGCUUACCAAGGCAACGAUACGUAGCCGACCUGAGAGGGUGAUCGGCCACACUGGAACUGAGACACGGUCCAGACUCCUACGGGAGGCAGCAGUAGGGAAUCUUCCGCAAUGGGCGAAAGCCUGACGGAGCAACGCCGCGUGAGUGAUGAAGGUCUUCGGAUCGUAAAACUCUGUUAUUAGGGAAGAACAAAUGUGUAAGUAACUAUGCACGUCUUGACGGUACCUAAUCAGAAAGCCACGGCUAACUACGUGCCAGCAGCCGCGGUAAUACGUAGGUGGCAAGCGUUAUCCGGAAUUAUUGGGCGUAAAGCGCGCGUAGGCGGUUUCUUAAGUCUGAUGUGAAAGCCCACGGCUCAACCGUGGAGGGUCAUUGGAAACUGGGAAGCUUGAGUGCAGAAGAGGAAAGUGGAAUUCCAUGUGUAGCGGUGAAAUGCGCAGAGAUAUGGAGGAACACCAGUGGCGAAGGCGACUUUCUGGUCUGUAACUGA